GGAUUGUGGCUUAGUGGCAGAGCACUUGCCUUGCAUACAUGAGGCCCUGGGUUUGAUUCUCAGCACCA
rnacentral:tRNA from 1 species